rnacentral:rRNA from 1 species
AUGGAUAUUAGGGUACAACUCCGGAUGCAAGUGAUAGCAGAAUACUUUGAAAUAUGGAGGGAAAUCCAGGACAUGCUUUUGCUCUCAGAUGUGGAUGAUUACUUUGAGUGGAGGCUCACUGUCAACAGGAAGUACUCAGCCAGCUCUGCAUAUGAGGCUUUUUCUUUGUCUUUGAGCAAGUGGACAAUACCAGGAACCUGUAGAGAAACAUUGUGCAGCCAAACGAAAAGUUCUACGUUUGCUUGGUGCUUAGGAAUCGAUGCUGGAUGGCUGACUGUUUGGAGUGGCAGGCCCUACCAAGUCCCCUGGUGUGCCCUAUCUGCAAUCAGGCGCCAGAAACGAUUGACCAUCUUUCGUCAAAUGUUCCUACAUGCGGGAGUUUUGGUUCAAGUUCCUCAGGUUGCGAGCGAUGGCUUCACUAACACCAUCAAGCCACACGGUCAGACAAUGGUGGUGCUACAUGCCCAACAGAGUCCAGGGUCCGAGAGUGAGAGAGGCUGCUACUUGGGCUAUUGUGGGGAUGCGAAGGGUUUGGCUUGA